GUGAGUAGUUCAGAGUUUGAUCCUGGCUCAGGACGAACGCUGGCGGCGUGCCUAACACAUGCAAGUCGAACGGAGUUAACCGCUGAAUUGACGCUAGCUUGCUAGAAUAUUUCUUGGUUAACUUAGUGGCGGACGGGUGAGUAACGCGUGAGGAACCUGCCCUUCAGAGGGGGACAACAGUUGGAAACGACUGCUAAUACCGCAUAACGUACAUUGGGGACAUCCCCGAAGUACCAAAGGAGCAAUCCGCUGAAGGAUGGCCUCGCGUCUGAUUAGAUAGUUGGUGAGGUAACGGCUCACCAAGUCGACGAUCAGUAGCCGGACUGAGAGGUUGAACGGCCACAUUGGGACUGAGACACGGCCCAG
rnacentral:rRNA from 1 species